UGGGGAAUAUUGGACAAUGGGCGCAAGCCUGAUCCAGCCAUACCGCGUGAGUGAAGAAGGCCCUCGGGUUGUAAAGCUCUUUUGUUGGGAAAGAAAUCCUGUUGGCUAAUACCCGGCAGGGAUGACGGUACCCAAAGAAUAAGCACCGGCUAACUUCGUGCCAGCAGCCGCGGUAAUACGAAGGGUGCAAGCGUUACUCGGAAUUACUGGGCGUAAAGCGUGCGUAGGUGGUUCGUUAAGUCUGAUGUGAAAGCCCUGGGCUCAACCUGGGAAUUGCAUUGGAUACUGGCGGGCUAGAGUACGGUAGAGGGUAGUGGAAUUCCUGGUGUAGCAGUGAAAUGCGUAGAGAUCAGGAGGAACAUCCGUGGCGAAGGCGACUACCUGGACCAGUACUGACACUGAGGCACGAAAGCGUGGGGAGCAAACAGGAUUAGAUACCC
rnacentral:rRNA from 1 species